GAGUGUUGAAGAUGUGGUCUCUAAUCGAAGCCUUCACUACAAGCUCCCCGAGAGCGUUCGGGCAAAAUUUCGCAAUUUUGCAAGCACAGAAGAAUUUGCUGGGGAGAUGUUUACAAAAGAGAAGCAGCAGAAGAAUUUAGGAUUCACAAGCCAAUAUGAGCUAAACCAGAAAGAUCAUAAAAGGACUCAACCUAGAAGACUGCAAGAGAUUUAUACUGGAGGUGAGUUGAGCAUCUGACCAACAAAGGCCAACUAACUUGAACUACUUCUAUUAUGGUGUGAACUUUACUAUUCCGGUAUUGCAUACAGUUCUGCAAAUCAAACCCAGCAUUAAGGACCAGUGAGGCUGAUGCUAGCUAGAGCUGACAUGGUUGAAAACAGCACUUUCAUGUUUUAGGACAAAUGUGUCUAUCAUUUCGUUUCCCAGCAUAUUGUGACAUUGCAAAAGCUAUUUAAAUGCUCUUUCUGGUUUUGGUUUAGCCUGAUGUGGCACAACUGAAGGCCUGCAUGUUGUUUUACAUGUUUAGAAAUCUAGUCAAAGAGUCUUCACAGACUGUGGUUUCCAUAUGCAUGAUUACUGUGUACAUGGUUUAAAUCAGGGGUCUCACAUCAGGGGUAUCAAGACAGUAUUUUACGGCCCCCAC